UACCAUCACUCUCCUUUAGCUAUCUAAUAUGGUUGGUAAACCUCUGAACUAUCAUCGACUAAUGGAAGAAUCUAGUAUUUCGGUUACCCUUCCUAAUCCACUGCAUCCUAGAUUAUUGCCUCCACAGUAUCUCCUGCCAUCUCAAUAAAGAGUGGUGCUUGAAGAGCUUGUGAUGAAGCUCCCAUAAGUCAGAUUCCUGAAGGCUCCUCUCCUGAUCCUCUCUCCUCUGAAGCUCUACAAUGUCUGCUUCUACCCCCU
rnacentral:lncRNA from 1 species